rnacentral:lncRNA from 1 species
ACUUUUUCAACCCUGAAGGCGCGCGUGUGCGUGGGAAGCCGUUUUAACCCGAGUGGUGAAUCUUUCCCUGCUUCCAGUUAAGCCCCCCCCCCCCCCCCAGCUUUGAAGAAGAAACACUGGAGCUAGUGAAUUCGGGACAGGCGGGGUAGCGGGCGCCGCUCUUGCGGGGGCUUUUCGACUGUUGCCUGGGCAUUUUAUCGGACCGCUGGGAAACCCCGCGGCUGGGCCCGAUCCGAUCCCGCCCGCUCUCCUUUGUUGGGCGCGUCUCUUUCCGGAGGCCUUGACCCUGCUCCCGCGUGUUUGGCCUCUACCCGAUGUGGGAGGCCGUGACAGGGAAGCGGAUGGCGCUGCCCUCAGUUCAUAGAUGCGUCCAAAGUAUUACAGAUGUAUAAUGAACUGAAGAAAAGGUACAAUAAAGAAGUCAAAACAAAUCAAAGACAAAAUGAAACAGUUGCAAUGCUGUCUGGUAAAAUUAAUGACUUGGAACACCAACUUCAUUUAGCAAACCAAAAGAUAAAUGCCUUGGAAUAUAAAAAAAAGGACAAAUUUGCUUCAAUUCAACGAAGACUGUCAUCUGACAAAUGUAUGUGCAAAAAGAAAGGAAGCUGUUCCUGCAAAUAUUUAGACCAGCUGCUUUUUGAGACACAGAGACUGAAGAUGGAAAAUGAAACGCUCUCCAAAGAAAGAAGAAUGUUAAAAAAUGAGCUUGCUGCAUUAGAUAAGGAUUUCUUUGAUGAAAUAGAAGAUUUAAAAUAUGCUCUACAAGAAGCCGUAAAGCUGAAUACCCACUAUGAAAAGUAUUUAAAACAGUUAAGUUCCACUUAUGGAAUCACUCUUACAGUGUUGAGAGCUGGCAAUCCUCGUACAACUUUAUGGAAAUAAUAAUCAAGACUAUUAUUAAAGUAUACUGAGUGUACACAGAAAAAUAAACUCUCAACAGAGUAAUUUCUUAAUUUGUGC